GACGAACGCUGGCGGCGUGCUUAACACAUGCAAGUCGAACGGAGCGAAUGAAAGCUUGCUUUUAUGAGCUUAGUGGCAAACGGGUGAGUAACACGUAGGCAACCUGCCGACAGGAUGGGGACAACAUUCCGAAAGGAAUGCUAAUACCGAAUGAAGCGGAGGAGAGGCAUCUUCCCUCCGUGAAAGAUGGCCUCUUUUUAUGCUAUCACCUGUCGAUGGGCCUGCGUCUGAUUAGCUGGUAGGUGAGGUAACGGCUCACCUAGGCGACGAUCAGUAGCCGGUCUGAGAGGAUGAACGGCCACAUUGGGACUGAGACACGGCCCAGACUCCUACGGGAGGCAGCAGUGGGGAAUCUUCCGCAAUGGGCGCAAGCCUGACGGAGCAACGCCGCGUGAGUGAAGAAGGUCUUCGGAUCGUAAAGCUCUGUUGAUGGGGACGAACGUGCCUAAUGCGAAUAGUUUUAGGCAAAGACGGACCCAUCGA
rnacentral:rRNA from 1 species